rnacentral:lncRNA from 1 species
UUUUCUUCCGCCUAAUUUUGUUCUUGCGAUAAACAUUUGUUUCGCAAUAUGUCGCUUAGAUAUUUGGUAUAUGAUAUCGAACAGUUUAUGCGCUUUUGAAAUUUACCCUGCGUAAACGAAUACUUUUCUUUGUAGGAGUUAUCUCCCCAAACACUGUUUUCCUUGUUAGCGCAACUCCUUCGCAACCGUAAAAUAUUAUGACAAAUUUAUUUUACAAAAUUACUCGUUAUAUCCUUCGCAUGAUUUGUCCUAUUUUGACCGAAGCGAUAUGAACGCUCCAUAUGAGAGUUAUUUCCCCUUAUGCAUUUGUUAUAAGUGAUAUGCAUUUCUAUCUUGUAAACCAUAAGUGCUAGAGACCUAGGAUCUUUUGAUUUGAGGUCCUUGGUCCAAAAAAAUGAAAAUUAGGUCAAGGUCAAAGGUCAAGGUCAUAUUUGAGAUUUUCAUAUGUCUUUGAUUUCCCUAUAAUUCUUAAAUGGUUAUAGAUACAGAAAAUUUAAGCAGUGAAAAAUGUUAAGGACUUCAAGGGGCAACUUUGUUACAUUAUGACUAUAUUGGUUUUACCAUUGUGUAAGGGACAUAAUCCCCAUUGAUGGUUUAUAUAAAGCCAUUAUUAGACAAAACUCUUAAACAAAAUGACCUUGACCCAUAGGGUCUUCUGCAAUGACAUUGUGAAGAAAUGACCUUGACAAAGGUCACAAGGUCAAAGGUCAAGGUCAUGUACAUAUGUGAUUUGGGGCACUACUUGAAGAGUUUUAUGUGUGUUUGCCUGCCAACCAACCAACCAACCAACCAACCAAUCAAUCAAUCAAUCAAUCAAUCAAUCAUGAUCAUGAUCAAUCAACCAAUAAUUAUCAUGAUCAAUCAAUCAAUCACGUUUCCGUCUCGUGUGUUUAUCAUAGGGUUCAAGAUCUUCUUUGUUUCUUUUUCGCUGUUUCAACUGACCCUAUCCAACGUGUUUGACCAAACAACCAACCAACUAAUCAAUCAAUCAAUCAAUCAAUCAUGAUCAAUCAAUCAAUCAAUCAAUCAUGUAUCCGUCUCAUGUGUUUAUUAUACGGUCCAAGAUCUUCUUUGUUUCUUUUUCGCUGUUUCAACUGACCCUAUCCAACGUGUUUAACCAACCAACCAACCAACCAACCAACCAACCAACUAAUCAAUCAAUCAAUCAUUCAAUCAAUCAAUCAAUCAAUCAUGAUCAUGAUCAAUCAAUCAUGUAUCCGUCUCAUGUGUUUAAUAUACGGUCCAAGAUCUUCUUUGUUUCCUUUUCGCUGUUUCAAUUGACCCUAUCCAACGUGUUUAAUCAACCAACCAACCAACCAACUAAUCAAUCAAUCAAUCAAUCAAUCAAUCAUGAUCAUGAUCAAUCAAUCAUGUUUCAUGAAAAAUUGAAAUUUAAUAUUGUUCUUGCGUCACUUCUGAAAAAAAAUCAACAUGUACUCUGAAACUACAAGUACAAUCGACCUCAAAAUUUGCAGUCAGCAGGGCAUACAUGUACUUAAAGUUUAUAAAAAAACUUGGUGCAGAUAUCUCUCAAAGCUUUUCCUAGAGAAAAGAAAUGGCAAUGCCGUAAAAAUCGCUUGCAAGGUCCGUAAAUCUCAGUAAAAACCUACAAUAAAAUGUCCGCUCCGAGAUUGAAAUACUAAUCUGUGUUACAAACAGGUGCUGAAAAAUGUACAAUAUCAGAAAAUAAUCAAUAAAUGUGUUUUAAAGUUACACCGGAUCAAUUAAAUCCAAAACAUGCACUGCCCGUGAACUGUGAUCCAAAUGUCAAUUUCCUACAAUGACAAAAGAAAUUACAUUGUGUUUAUUCCGUCUCUAUACAUGUUGUCUGUUCAAAGUCCCCACCUAAAAAGAAAUAUAAAAAGACUAACUUUUCGUUAUUAUAAACCCGUGUCACGUGAUGUGGCGCGCGCGCUGUACCUAAAAUAAAAGAAAAACUUUCCAAACUAAACAUGAAACUUCUCCGGUAACAAUAAUAUAGACCCCAUACAGAAACAAACAAACAAACAAACAAACAAACAAACAAACAACCCCUCCCCCCCAAAUUCAAUUAAUUUUAAAGGGGGAAAGACCGCCUACAAUUGCUUUUUUAAAGCAAUUGAUUUAUAUUUUAUUUUAUAUUUCUU